rnacentral:rRNA from 1 species
UACAGGAGGUGCAAACGUUGCUCGGAAUCAUUGGGCGUAAAGCGCACGUAGGCGGUCUAUUAUGUCGGAUGUGAAAGCCCUUAGCUUAACUGAGGAAGUGCAUCCGAAACUGGCAGGCUAGAGUACUAAAGAGGGUCGCGGAAUUCCCGGUGUAGAGGUGAAAUUCGUAGAUAUCGGAAGGAACACCGAUGGCGAAAGCGACGACCUGGAUAGAUACUGACACUGAGGUGCGAAAGCGUGGAGAGCAAACAGA